rnacentral:tRNA from 1 species
CCUCGUGUAGGCUCAACAGGUUAGAGCUUCCGACUUAUAAUCGGAGGGUUGCUGGUUCAAGUCCAGCCACGAGGA